CCUACGGGAGGCAGCAGUGAGGAAUAUUGGUCAAUGGGCGGGAGCCUGAACCAGCCAAGUCGCGUGAAGGAAGAAGGUACUUAGUAUUGUAAACUUCUUUUGUCGGGGAACAAAGGCGGCGACGCGUCUCCGGAUGAGUGUACCCGAAGAAAAAGCAUCGGCUACCUCCGUGCCAGCAGCCGCGGUAAUACGGAGGAUGCGAGCGUUAUCCGGGUUUAUUGGGUUUAAGGGGCGCGCAGGCGGGCGAUCAAGUCAGCGGUAAAAUGUCGGGGCUCAACCCCGGCCGGCCGUUGCAACUGGUUGUCUAGAGUGGGAGAGAGGUAUGCGGAAGUCGUGGUGUAGCGGUGAAAUGCAGAGAUAUCACGAAGAACUCCGAUUGCGAAGGCAGCAUACCGGCUCCAGACUGACGCUGAGGCACGAAAGCGUGGGGAUCGAACAGGAUUAGAUACCCGUGUAGUC
rnacentral:rRNA from 1 species